rnacentral:lncRNA from 1 species
AUAGUGUUUCUGGGGCUAUAUGACAGUGACAAACCCCCUUUGACCUUUGGCAUGCUGGAAGGGUCUGGAGACAAGACCUGAACCAAUAGAAAUUCUGUGAUGUAUCUGUGAAGGUGGCAGCAGAGGAGCAAUCUGACAAAAUGGCAUCUGACAGUGGAAUUGCUUAUGGAGAAAAGGUGUGUUGUUGAAAUCUUUCAUGUGGAAAAAGUGGCACCCAUUGACAUUCACUGAUACUUGCUGAACGUUUCUGGAGACCAAACAGUGGCUGUGAGCACAGUGAGGGGAUGAGAAGGUGAAGGGAAAUCCUUAAGACCACUCUUCAAGUGGAGGAAGCAGGAUAGAAGACUCAUAAUCAUGUCCUAACAGCGCUUCCAUGACUGAGAGAUAAUGGACACAUCUGCAUCAUGAUCAAAAGUACCUUUACCUGUGAAUCUGAAGAGAAUGCUGUGUGGACUGUGAAUUCCUGUCAGAAGACACGGUAAGUAUUUGGACAGCUAAUUCAUGCAGGUCCCUGAGCUACCACUGCUAGUAUUAAGCUCACUAGUUAAAGCCGCUUUAGAUGAAUGCAGCUACAGCAGAAGCUGAAUGAUAAAUAUUCCCAAAUGUAACCAAACAAACUGGCAAACUCUGAAUAAAUAUAUGAAAUACAUCGUAGUAGUCACAAACUCUGCUUGUUACUCUCAAGAGGAAUAAAUUUUGUUUAGGGCCACAAACCAGGCCCUCUUUUACAGCAUUUUGGAUUUUAUGCUACCUUACAAGCGCAAAAGGACAAUAAAGCAAUGGUAAAUAUUCAAAAAUUACUUUACCGUGGACUGUGUUAUCUCACUUAUAUCUUUCUAUCCUACCCCUAAGGUCAGACAUACAGGGUGGUUUUUACACACUGUGCUUGUGCACCGGUGACAUCUGGAUGAAAACGAGACAUAUAGCUAUAGGAUGUUGUAAAAAAAACGUCAGCCAUUCUUUUCAUGUUGUAAAAGACAAUAACAAAUGGAGUUGUCAAUGGUAGUAAUCCCAUCCAUGUAUAAAUCCCAGAAGACUAGAAACAGCGUUCUUGGAAAUGUUGUCAUCCCAAAAAAUCCAAGCAUAGAAGAUAAAGCUGUUCAAAGGAGCUGGUCUUCCACCUGGUAGUAGAGAUCAGUCAUCCUUGACUUAAAAUCCAAUAAAAUUGGAUUCUACUUAGUCCAAUAGGAAUAGCUCUUGUUCUCAAUGUCUAACAUGAAGUGGUCCAUCAGAUGGACACCACAGUUCACCUUUGCAUUCCAGCUACACAAACAGUUAUGAAAGGAACUUCUUACGACUGCAGAGAAGCUGCCAGGAGAGAGCUGGGAAGCAGACAGGCAGUUCUGCUUACUGGAACUCAUCUGUGUGAAUUUGCUUUAGCUGCCAUGCAAUGUUCAGAAGAUAUAAGAAAAUGACAGUUUACUCAGAGAAAGGAGAUAAAAGGACAUCCAUGG